rnacentral:rRNA from 1 species
GUGUCAGCCGCCGCGGUAAUACGAAGGGGGCUAGCGUUGUUCGGAAUUACUGGGCGUAAAGCGCUCGCAGGCGGAUUGAUAAGUCGGGGGUGAAAUCCCGGGGCUCAACCUCGGAAUUGCCUUCGAUACUGUCUAUCUAGAGUCCGGGAGAGGUGAGUGGAAUUCCUAGUGUAGAGGUGAAAUUCGUAGAUAUUAGGAAGAACACCAGUGGCGAAGGCGGCUCACUGGCCCGGAACUGACGCUCAUGAGCGAAAGCGUGGGGAGCAAACAGGAUUAGAUACCCCCGUAGUCC